CCUACGGGUGGCAGCAGUGGGGAAUAUUGCACAAUGGGGGAAACCCUGAUGCAGCGACGCCGCGUGAGUGAAGAAGUAUUUCGGUACGUAAAGCUCUAUUAGCAGGGAAGAAAAAGACGGUACCUGACUAAGAAGCCCCGGCUAACUACGUGCCAGCAGCCGCGGUAAUACGUAGGGGGCAAGCGUUAUCCGGAUUUACUGGGUGUAAAGGGAGGGGAGACGGCAGCGCAAGUCUGGAGUGAAAUCCCCUGGCUUAACCAAGGAACUGCUUUGGAAACUGUGCAGCUAGAGUGCAGGAGAGGUAGGCGGAAUUCCUGGUGUAGCGGUGAAAUGCGUAGAUAUUAGGAGGAACACCAGUGGCGAAGGCGGCUUGCUGGACUGUGACUGACGUUGAGGCUCGAAGGCGUGGGGAGCAAACAGGAUUAGAUACCCCGGUAGUC
rnacentral:rRNA from 1 species